rnacentral:rRNA from 1 species
UAGGGAAUCUUCGGCAAUGGACGAAAGUCUGACCGAGCAACGCCGCGUGAGUGAAGAAGGUUUUCGGAUCGUAAAACUCUGUUGUUAGAUAAGAACAAGGACGUUAGUAACUGAACGUCCCCUGACGGUAUCUAACCAGAAAGCCACGGCUAACUACGUGCCAGCAGCCGCGGUAAUACGUAGGUGGCAAGCGUUGUCCGGAUUUAUUGGGCGUAAAGCGAGCGCAGGCGGUUUCUUAAGUCUGAUGUGAAAGCCCCCGGCUCAACCGGGGAGGGUCAUUGUUAACUGGGAGACUUGAGUGCAGAAGAGGAGAGUGGAAUUCCAUGUGUAGCGGUGAAAUGCGUAGAUAUAUGGAGGAACACCAGUGGCGAAGGCGGCUCUCUGGUCUGUAACUGACGCUGAGGCUCGAAAGCGUGGGGAGCAAACAGG